rnacentral:rRNA from 1 species
GACGAACGCUGGCGGCGUGCUUAACACAUGCAAGUCGAACGGAAAGGCCCUGCUUGCAGGGUACUCGAGUGGCGAACGGGUGAGUAACACGUGGGUGAUCUGCCCUGCACUUCGGGAUAAGCCUGGGAAACUGGGUCUAAUACCGGAUAGGAGCCAUUUUUAGUGUGAUGGUUGGAAAGUUUUUUCGGUGUAGGAUGAGCUCGCGGCCUAUCAGCUUGUUGGUGGGGUAAUGGCCUACCAAGGCGGCGACGGGUAGCCGGCCUGAGAGGGUGGACGGCCACAUUGGGACUGAGAUACGGCCCAGACUCCUACGGGAGGCAGCAGUGGGGAAUAUUGCACAAUGGGCGCAAGCCUGAUGCAGCGACGCCGCGUGGGGGAUGACGGCCUUCGGGUUGUAAACUCCUUUCGCUAGGGACGAAGCUUUUUGUGACGGUACCUAGAUAAGAAGCACCGGCUAACUACGG